rnacentral:lncRNA from 1 species
UCAAAAUCAGUUCACUUGAGUUCAUCCAAGGUUCAAAACUAAAAGCUAGCAGCUACCUUAUCUUGGUGUUUUACUCGUUGUAGGAGGUGUAUGUCUUGAAUUGAAACUCUACAUCUAUACUUCGAGUUUUGGUAGCUUUAAAUCCUUCUAUCUUGUAUCCGUCUUGUGAUUAUGUUCUAAACUUUUUGAAUCUUAUUAUGACAGAACAAUCGGAGGAUCUUGGACCUUCAAAUUGCUGAGUUCUGUCUACUUUUCAUCAACAUCAAAGCUUUCUUUCUUUUGGUAAUAUUUUCUUCCACUCAUUAAAUUGAUAUAUGUAAGGUUGUUAUGGGAUGCACUUUUGACUAAUCGUUAGGUUUGGUAACUCUAUUUAGAUGUUUAGAACUGAUUUAGAUUGGGUUUCAUAUAGUGCACACCACAUGUUUGAUAGAAUGCCUCACAGACACAACAAAGCUGAACUAGUGGGCUUUUCCCUGAUUUUCGAAAAAUCUAUACUUCUUUGUACAAUCUCAGUUUUUUAACAGUUGAAAAUAGACUCUUCGAUGAUCGUUUUAAACUUGGUUUCAAGCAAAACGGAGUUGAUUUGAGAAACUUGUGCUAUUUUAAAAGUUCAUACAAUGUUUCAGAAUUUUCUGCAGAAACUGCAUUUUCAGUCACUUUGGAUCUCUAUUUGACCAUGUAUUUGAACUCCAAACGAGUUGAAAUUUUGGGACAUUGUGGUUUUGCUUGUCUACUUUGAUUCUGGAGAUUUUCAGCUGAAAGUAUUAAAAUGUCCAUUGUUAAUGAAUUUUUCUCUCUUACUACCUGUUUCCUGAAACUUUCUCAGAUUUGCAGCUUAUUGUUACAAAACAAUUGGUUUGAGAGCUCUUACCUUUUGUAUCAGUUUUCGAUCUUUAGCAAGUUAAAUUAGUUAUGCAAUCAUGCUUUGAACUUGUAUUUUAGUCCAAAAAGGGUCAAGGAAAACUCUAUUUUUUAAACAAAGCAUUGUCUCUGUGUUAUAUAAUCUGAUCACUACUUUUCUUUUGGAACAAGCUCACACAAGGAGACUCUAGCUACAGCCGAUUCUUUGAAAAUGCGACUUUGAUUGAUUUUAGGACUGACUAAGGUACUGUUUAUGCUUAUAUUAGGAACAAGGAUACAAGGGAACUGAAGGUUGGUCAAGUGGUACUUGCUGUGAGUUGCACAUCAGAAUUUCCAGGUAGGGGGUCUUCACUGGUUAGAGAUGUUUAUGAAAAUAUCGUUAUGUUUUUAUGCAUAAAAGUGCAUUAUUUUAUGUGAUGACUUGAGAGUGAAGGGAGCAUAGUGACUACCUUGGGUUUCAAUCCCCUAAACCUUCGGAGGGGCUAUACGGACCGGAGGACGUCUAACAUCCUUGAGGUGUGGCUUCUCUCCUAGGCGGUAUGGCAUAAACGGCCACUCUCGCUACUUCUUGCUGGCGGUCUAUAAAAUUAUUUUAGCAAGUAGGUAGUUGGCAAAAAGGACCGGUCAUCAUAUUUUUAGAAAACGGGUACCCCUGAACAUGUGUUUCACUGGAAAUUCUUAUAUCAAAUCUUAUUAUUUCUACUGCUGAUGUUUAAGGUUUUACUGAAACUAAACCCUCAUAGUUUUCAAACCUAGCUAGCAUUACUUCCUACUGAGCAUAUGAUCGUGAAUGAUGCUCACCCCUAUACAUUUCAGGUACUGUGCACGAGACUGAAAAGGAGUGGACUUGAAGUGGUGACCUUGGCAUUUUGCAGCUUGUCUCCUUUCCUUGAGGUCUACUUCCUGUUUUGUUGUUCUGAUGUCUUUUGCUAUAAUGAGCCCUCUUUGUCUUCAUAAUCAGUCUUUGGAAACUAAUAUCAGAUAGUUGUAAAUAUGUUGUCAAAUGCUCAUCUUGGCGCUUGUGGUACCUAUACUGGUCUUGCCUAUUAUGGUGCCUCCAAUGCAUAUGUAUAAUUAUAACCAUGUUUCUUUAGAUUUCCUUGUGAUCACCCUUUAGUUCCUUACCAAGUUGUACUCCUGUGUUGUAAUCCAAUUGUCUCUCGUUUAGCACUGAGAUUAGAACUCAGUGAGUUCUAAAUAUGUUUUUGAAAGGUUCAUCUUGUUCUAUAUAUUAAUCAUCUAAUGUAGUGUCUUUUAUAC